ensembl:lncRNA
UUUUUUUUUUUUUCUUUUUCCUUCUUCUCUCAUGACUAUAGAUCCUGUGAUUUGUGUUUUUACCGAUUUCACACUGCUCGUCCUGUUUUUCCUAGCUAUCCUCCUUAUUUUGGGACGCCGGGACCUUCCUCUUCUCUGCUUAACAAACUCCCCACUGCUGUGCUGCUGUCGUGCCUGCACAAUCCCUUUAGAAUAUGCAAGGUUAGUGGAUUUCCCACCACAAAAACACCUUCUGUUGCAAAAGCACAGCUUUGUUUCUCACACCGGUGUCUGCGAGCACCGAGUGGAUGCGCUGAGGACGGGAAGCAGCCCCGUGCUGCAGUGCCUGUCGGCAUCUCAAACUGCAGGGCCCUUCGUGAAGUCAUAGCGCCCUUUCAUAAGCCAGGUGGUUGUGCUGGGAGCUCCGCCGUCACGCGGGACCAAAAGCAAUGAAGAGUUCCUUCCCAGCUGUGACAGCGAAUCUGUGUAGUGUGGCAGACUAAGGAGCUUGGGGUGGGGGACAGGAGAGGCUGUCGGACACAGCUGGAGCUGGGCAGUGGGCUGUGACCCUGGCCCCGAGCGAGGAGCCCGGCGGAGCCAUCCUGGUCCCCCACCUCCCCACAGGAUGCAGCACAGGGGCACCGGCCUGCUUCAACGUGGGCUGGGGGCUGUGACCUCACAGAGGCGUUGCCGUGUGCUGUCUGUGACCUCACGGCCGUGUCCCUAUAAAGCACCGGCCAGCACCCCACGUCUGCCAGUGCGGUCGUACCUGGCUGUGAGCGAUGGUUGACGACAGCAGCGUUUUCCUUGUCCCCGGCCUCCUGCUUGUGGUGACCGGGCUCUCCCUGCUCUCCAGGGGCCGGCGCCAAAAGGGUGACGGUCUGUGCUGGCGAAAGUGGGGAUGGCGGCUACAAGCAGCAGCAGCGGAGCCUGGCACCAAGCAGCUGUGCGGGUCAGGGCGCUGCUGCCCUGGCUGUACGGCGUGCAUCAAGGCCAAGCAGGAGCUGCAGCAGCUGGUGCUGUCGGCACUGCCCAGGUGUGAGGCUGAUGGGCUGAGGCCUGACUUCUGGCAAGCGGCAUCGAAGGACGUGGAGGAGCUGGUGAAGCGGGGCAGCCUGUCCUGCUGUGGCUGCGACAUCCCCAGGAUCAAGAGCUGUCCUCGGAGCUGGAGCAACACCUCUCUGGAGCACGAUGGAGGAGCCCCCACAGAGCCAGAGCCUCCGUGCCACCCAGCGCCCAGGAAGGAGACACAUCCCGCAGACAUCCCUGCAGAAGACCAACAUCUGGACUCUGCCCUGAGCAAAACCAGCAGUGCGGAGGAGGCUGAUGAGCUUCCUGGGAAGAGGCAGUGCCUAGAGAUUCUGACAGCCCCCAGGAGCCCCAGGCUUGGGAAGCAGGCCUCCAAGCCAGGCAGCGGAGAUGAAGAGCCACCGGCUGAGGUCUCCUCCUCCAUGCAGCCACCAGAAACGGGGACGAUCGUGCGUGAGAGUCUCCUUCGCCCAGAUGAGGGGCGACAGCAGUGGGUGGAGGUGUCCCAGCAACCUCUCGGCUUGUCCGUGGACCUCUCAGCACUUCCCAGCCCAGCCAACACAGUGUUACGAAAAGACCAAGGCUGCCAAACCGACUUCGUCAUCAUCCUGAGACCACUGGGGGCUGAUGAUGGUAAUGGGAACCAGCCCCAAACUGCAGCGCCUGUCGACAUCUCAGAGCUGCAGCUGAGGCUUGAGCAGCACAGCAAGGCCUGCAUGCAGACAGCAAGCGAAGAAAACCUAGAAAGCUCCUCUGGGACAGUGCAGCAGUCAACUGAAGAGGAGCAUGAAGCACUGCCCCAAAAUGCCUGUUCUGGCCCCCUGCCACCACAAUGUCCCUGUGUCGCCUUCCUCAAAUACAAGCCUCUCCUCCAUCCGGACCAGGUCAAGAGGAACUGGAAGAAGCACGGGGCCUCCACUGUCUGCCCAGCGGCCUCUGGACCACCAUGCUCCGGCCCUCAGCCUGUCCAUUUCCACAGGCCCGAGGCCACGUUCAUGCCUCAGGAGCUGCAGCACCGCGGGGACCAGCUCGGCCCGGAGCGCCCAUGCCAGCGAGCAGUGCCCUGGGAGGAGGGUGGCUGGGCAGCCCCAAGGGCUCACACACACUACACCAAGAACGGCUGGUGUAGCCACAGCAUGGACACAGCUCCCAAGGGUGAAAUUCUGAGGACGCCCUAUGGGUUGCCGAAUGCGUGGGCAGGACAAGAGCCCACCGCAGUCUACCCAGCCCUCAGGCCCGUGAUCCAAACUACAAGCCUGAGGUGAGCACCGUCGGAAGCACCGCAGACACUUUGUGGGACCAGCCGCAGGAGCCCCACAAGGCCAGUGGGGCAGCAGCAGCGAGCAGACCCAAUGCUCUGACAGCAGCUUCCACCUCCGGGCUGCGGCUGUCCCUCAGAAAGGAAACACCAGUGCGGAGGUGACCACGGCGUCUGAAACAUCUGGGGCUGAGGCAGGCACCAGGGGACCUAAGUGGUGGCCUUGGAGGAAGAAGUGCCCUGGCAACGUCGAGAGCUCCCCAGAUCGCGGGGCCUGCUCCCAGGGCACCGACAGCCAACAAAAGUGGACAGGCAGCAACCUCCCUCGGGGAAAUGCACGGGCCAGGCCAGCUCCCAGCUCAGCCUCCACAAGAGCCCAGGAGCCCCAUGGCUACUCCAGCUCGUCGUCUUCAGAGCACUGCAGUGCCCCUAUCACCAGAUACCCGUGCUCGUGUCACUUGCGCCAAACCUGUGGCACCCAGGGCACUGCAGCGGAACCGAACGGCAACAGCAUCCGCUCGGUCUGGGAUAGGAUUUGCUGUCGGCAGCAGAAGAUGUCUGCAUCGCCGCAGAGCUCUACAUCUGAGCACUGCUGCCAUGCAGGCUACAGGAGAGGCAGGGCCAGCGUCCAUGGAGCUUGUGAUUUUCAAAAGCUCCAAUAUUGAAAAUAAAUAAACUUAUUUGUGUAAAUAAACUUAUAGG